rnacentral:rRNA from 1 species
AUUGAACGCUGGCGGCAGGCCUAACACAUGCAAGUCGAGCGGAUGAGAAGAGCUUGCUCUUCGAUUCAGCGGCGGACGGGUGAGUAAUGCCUAGGAAUCUGCCUGGUAGUGGGGGACAACGUUUCGAAAGGAACGCUAAUACCGCAUACGUCCUACGGGAGAAAGCAGGGGACCUUCGGGCCUUGCGCUAUCAGAUGAGCCUAGGUCGGAUUAGCUAGUUGGUGAGGUAAUGGCUCACCAAGGCGACGAUCCGUAACUGGUCUGAGAGGAUGAUCAGUAAAACUGGAACUGAGAAACGGUCCAGACUCCUAUGGGAGGCAGCAGUGGGGAAUAUUGGACAAUGGGCGAAAGCCUGAUCCAGCCAUGCCGCGUGUGUGAAGAAGGUCUUCGGAUUGUAAAGCACUUUAAGUUGGGAGGAAGGGCAGUAAGUUAAUACCUUGCUGUUUUGACGUUACCGACAGAAUAAGCACCGGCUAACUCUGUGCCAGCAGCCGCCGUAACAC